UACGGAGGGUGCAAGCGUUAUCCGGAUUUACUGGGUUUAAAGGGUGUGUAGGCGGACUUUUAAGUCAGCGGUGAAAUCUCCGGGCUCAACCCGGAAACUGCCAUUGAUACUAUUGGUCUUGAAUGUUGUUGAGGUGGGCGGAACGGGUCAUGUAGGCGGUGAAAUGCAUAGAGAUGACAUAGAAUACCGAUUGCGAAAGGCCAGCUCACUAACCGAUCAUUGACGCUGAGGCACGAAAGCG
rnacentral:rRNA from 1 species